rnacentral:rRNA from 1 species
CAGGCCUAACACAUGCAAGUCGAACGCCCCAUCGCUCGGGAGUGGCAGACGGGUUACUAUCACCUGGGAACAUACCCUUUGGUACGGAACCACCCCUGGAAACUGGUGCCUAUAUCGGGUACGCCCUCUGGGGGAAAGGCUUCCCGCCGAAGGAGUGGCCCGGAUUCUAUUACCUAUAUGGCUGGGUGACUGGCCGACCUGGCGACCAUCCACUGCUGGGCUCAUAGGAUUGGCAACCCGAUUGGGAAUGAGACACCGGCCCCAAUCCUACGGGAUGCAACAGUGAGGAAUAUUGGACCAUGGGGGCGAUCCUCAUCCGACCCUGCCGCGUCAGUGAUUAAAGCCUUACGGUUGGUAGCUCUUUCGACUCGACAAUAAUGACGGUAGCCUGAGAAGAACC